AUACUUCUGUAGUUCAUAAGCGUGAUGAUUGGGUUGCCACGUGACUGUGUGAGAUGUGCCACCCACAAACCUUGUUACGACGUCGGCCCAUUACCUGCUGACA
ensembl:snoRNA